rfam:Zea mays cultivar B73 chromosome 10, whole genome shotgun sequence.
AUACUUACCUGGAUGGGGUCUAUGGCUGACCAAGUAGAGUCUUUGCCUAGGCUAGUGGCCUCCAUUGCACUUGGGAGGAGCAUUAGUCUACCAUCUCCUCAAGUAGGAGAGCGGACAUCAUAAUUUGUGGUAGAGGGGAUACACAUUCGUGCGGCCCCUAC